UACGGGGGGGGCAAGCGUUGUUCGGAAUUACUGGGCGUAAAGGGCUCGUAGGUGGCCAACUAAGUCAUACGUGAAAUCCCUCGGCUUAACCGGGGAACUGCGUCUGAUACUGGAUGGCUUGAGAUUGGGAGAGGGAUGCGGAAUUCCUGGUGUAGCGGUGGAAUGCGCAGAUAUCAGGAGGAACACCGAUGGCGAAGGCAGAUCUCUGGGCCGUAACUGACGCUGAGGAGCGAAAGCAUGGGGAGCGAACAGG
rnacentral:rRNA from 1 species